rnacentral:rRNA from 1 species
GAUGAACGCUGGCGGCGUGCCUAAUACAUGCAAGUCGAGCGAACGGACCAGAAGCUUGCGUCGCGGAUGUGAGCGGCGGGCGGGUGAGUAACACGUGUAUAACCUACCUAUAAGACUGGUAUAAUUUCGGGAAACCGGAUCUAAUACCGGAGGAUAUUUUGAACCGCAGUGGGCAAAGGUGAAAUACGGUCGUUCUGGCUCUUAUAGAUGGAUCCCGGCUGCAUUAGCUAGUUGGUAAGUUAACGGCUUACCAAGGCAAGGAUGCAUAACCGACCGCAGAGAGUGAUAGGCCACCUGGGAACUGAGCCAGCGUCCAUACUCCUGCGGUAGGCAGCAGUCGGGAAUCUGCCGCAAUGGGCGAAAGUAUGACGGAGCAACGCCGAGUGAGUGAUGACGGUCUUCGGAUCGUAAUACUCUGUUACUAGUUAUGAACAUAUGUGUAAGUAACUGUGCACAUAUUGACGGUACCUAAUAAGAAAGCCACGGCUAACUACGUG